rnacentral:misc_RNA from 1 species
AACGCACGAGACCUGCGGACCUGCGGAAGGAUCAUUACCGAGUUAUACAACUCCCAAACCCACUGUGAACCUUACCUCAGUUGCCUCGGCGGGACCGCCCCGGCCGCCGCGCAAGCGGCGCCGGACUCCAAGGCGCCCGCCGCAGGGACCCAAAACUCUUUUGCAUUACGCCCAACGGCGGGAAUUUUUUCUCUGAGUGCAUAAGCAAAACAAAUGAAUCAAAACUUUCAACAACGGAUC